rnacentral:lncRNA from 1 species
CCUGGACAGGCUGUGUCCUGCACCCCCUGCCCUUUGGAAAGGGGUGAUUCCUGGAUUGCCAGGGCUGCUGCAUCACUGGAUGCCCCUGGUGAAAGGUGGAGGAGCUGACAGGAGGGGGGUAAAUAACCCCCAAUGUCUCCUCUCGAGUUCUCUGGUGUGCUGGCUGGAGGUGGCCCACUUAAGUCUGACGGGAUUAACUGGCUUCAGUGGGCUUGACAUUUGUCAAAUGGGAAGUUGCAGGAGAUAA